GGACGAACGCUGGCGGCGUGCUUAACACAUGCAAGUCGAACGGUCCGGCACUCAACUGAAGGAGUCAGCUUUAAGAGGUUAUUCCGAGGUUGACUUACUCAGUUGAGUACCGGAUAGUGGCGGACGGGUGAGUAACACGUGAAUAACCUGUCCCCAAGCUCGGGAUAACAUUCCGAAAGGGAUGCUAAUACCGGAUGAGCUUUUCAGGGCCCAAGCCCUAAAAAGCAAAGGGAUUACCGCUAGGGGAGGGGUUCGCGACCCAUCAGCUAGUUGGUGAGAUAACAGCUCACCAAGGCAACGACGGGUAGCCGGCCUGAGAGGGUGGUCGGCCACACUGGGACUGAGACACGGCCCAGACUCCUACGGGAGGCAGCAGUGGGGAAUCUUCCGCAAUGGGCGAAAGCCUGACGGAGCGACGCCGCGUGGGUGACGAAGGUCUUCGGAUCGUAAAGCCCUGUCAAGGGUGACGAUAAUGACGGUAGCCCUAAAGGAAGCCCCGGCUAACUACGUGCCAGCAGCCGCGGUAACACGUAGGGGGCGAGCGUUGUCCGGAAUUACUGGGCGUAAAGGGCGUGUAGGCGGCUUAUCAAGUCAGGCGUGAAAUUUUGAGGCUCAACCUUAAGACUGCGUCUGAAACUGGUAAGCUUGAGGGCAGGAGAGGAGAGCGGAAUUUCCAGUGUAGCGGUGAAAUGCGUAGAUAUUGGAAGGAACACCAGUGGCGAAAGCGGCUCUCUGGACUGUACCUGACGCUGAGGCGCGAAAGCGUAGGGAGCAAACAGGAUUAGAUACCCUGGUAGUCCACGCUGUAAACGAUGGAUGCUAGGUGUUGGGGGUAUCGACCCCUCCAGUGCCGCAGCAAACGCAAUAAGCAUCCCGCCUGGGAAGU
rnacentral:rRNA from 1 species